GUUUUAAUAGUUUAAUAAAAACAUUGGUCUUGUAAUCCAAAAAUAAAAGAUGCUUUUUUAAAACU
rnacentral:tRNA from 1 species